CGUUGCACUAUCGUUAACUGAAUACAUAGGUUAACGAGGCGAACCGGGGGAACUGAAACAUCUAAGUACCCCGAGGAAAAGAAAUCAACCGAGAUUCCCCCAGUAGCGGCGAGCGAACGGGGAGCAGCCCGGAGUCUGAAUCAGCUUGUGUGUUAGUGGAACGGUCUGGAAAGUCCGACGGUACAGGGUGAUAGUCCCGUACACGAAAGCACACAUGCUGUGAACUCGAAGAGUAGGGCGGGACACGUGGUAUCCUGUCUGAAUAUGGGGGGACCAUCCUCCAAGGCUAAAUACUCCUGACUGACCGAUAGUGAACCAGUACCGUGAGGGAAAGGCGAAAAGAACCCCGGCGAGGGGAGUGAAAAAGAACCUGAAACCGUGUACGUACAAGCAGUGGGAGCCUCUUUAUGGGGUGACUGCGUACCUUUUGUAUAAUGGGUCAGCGACUUAUAUUCUGUAGCAAGGUUAACCGUAUAGGGGAGCCGAAGGGAAACCGAGUCUUAACUGGGCGUUAAGUUGCAGGGUAUAGACCCGAAACCCGGUGAUCUAGCCAUGGGCAGGUUGAAGGUUGGGUAACACUAACUGGAGGACCGAACCGACUAAUGUUGAAAAAUUAGCGGAUGACCUGUGGCUGGGGGUGAAAGGCCAAUCAAACCGGGAGAUAGCUGGUUCUCCCCGAAAGCUAUUUAGGUAGCGCCUCGUGAACUCAUCUUCGGGGGUAGAGCACUGUUUCGGCUAGGGGGCCAUCCCGGCUUACCAACCCGAUGCAAACUACGAAUACCGAAGAAUGUUAUCACGGGAGACACACGGCGGGUGCUAACGUCCGUCGUGAAGAGGGAAACAACCCAGACCGCCAGCUAAGGUCCCAAAGUCAUGGUUAAGUGGGAAACGAUGUGGGAAGGCACAGACAGCCAGGAUGUUGGCUUAGAAGCAGCCAUCAUUUAAAGAAAGCGUAAUAGCUCACUGGUCGAGUCGGCCUGCGCGGAAGAUGUAACGGGGCUAAACCAUGCACCGAAGCUGCGGCAGCGACACUAUGUGUUGUUGGGUAGGGGAGCGUUCUGUAAGCCGUUGAAGGUGUGCUGUGAGGCAUGCUGGAGGUAUCAGAAGUGCGAAUGCUGACAUAAGUAACGAUAAAGCGGGUGAAAAGCCCGCUCGCCGGAAGACCAAGGGUUCCUGUCCAACGUUAAUCGGGGCAGGGUGAGUCGACCCCUAAGGCGAGGCCGAAAGGCGUAGUCGAUGGGAAACAGGUUAAUAUUCCUGUACUUGGUGUUACUGCGAAGGGGGGACGGAGAAGGCUAUGUCAGCCGGGCGACGGUUGUCCCGGUUUAAGCAUGUAGGCGGAGGUUCCAGGUAAAUCCGGUACCUUUUAACGCUGAGGUGUGAUGACGAGGCACUACGGUGCUGAAGUGAUAAAUGCCCUGCUUCCAGGAAAAGCCUCUAAGCAUCAGGUAACAUCAAAUCGUACCCCAAACCGACACAGGUGGUCAGGUAGAGAAUACCAAGGCGCUUGAGAGAACUCGGGUGAAGGAACUAGGCAAAAUGGUGCCGUAACUUCGGGAGAAGGCACGCUGAUGUGUAGGUGAAGCCCCUGCGGGCGGAGCUGAAAUCAGUCGAAGAUACCAGCUGGCUGCAACUGUUUAUUAAAAACACAGCACUGUGCAAACACGAAAGUGGACGUAUACGGUGUGACGCCUGCCCGGUGCCGGAAGGUUAAUUGAUGGGGUUAGCGGCAACGCGAAGCUCUUGAUCGAAGCCCCGGUAAACGGCGGCCGUAACUAUAACGGUCCUAAGGUAGCGAAAUUCCUUGUCGGGUAAGUUCCGACCUGCACGAAUGGCGUAAUGAUGGCCAGGCUGUCUCCACCCGAGACUCAGUGAAAUUGAACUCGCUGUGAAGAUGCAGUGUACCCGCGGCAAGACGGAAAGACCCCGUGAACCUUUACUAUAGCUUGACACUGAACACUGGUCCUUGAUGUGUAGGAUAGGUGGGAGGCUUUGAAGCGUGGACGCCAGUCUGCGUGGAGCCGACCUUGAAAUACCACCCUUUAAUGGCUGGUGUUCUAACGUAGACCCGUAAUCCGGGUUGCGGACAGUGUCUGGUGGGUAGUUUGACUGGGGCGGUCUCCUCCCAAAGAGUAACGGAGGAGCACGAAGGUUGGCUAAUCCUGGUCGGACAUCAGGAGGUUAGUGCAAUGGCAUAAGCCAGCUUGACUGCGAGCGUGACGGCGCGAGCAGGUGCGAAAGCAGGUCAUAGUGAUCCGGUGGUUCUGAAUGGAAGGGCCAUCGCUCAACGGAUAAAAGGUACUCCGGGGAUAACAGGCUGAUACCGCCCAAGAGUUCAUAUCGACGGCGGUGUUUGGCACCUCGAUGUCGGCUCAUCACAUCCUGGGGCUGAAGUAGGUCCCAAGGGUAUGGCUGUUCGCCAUUUAAAGUGGUACGCGAGCUGGGUUUAGAACGUCGUGAGACAGUUCGGUCCCUAUCUGCCGUGGGCGCUGGAGAAUUGAGGGGGGCUGCUCCUAGUACGAGAGGACCGGAGUGGACGCAUCACUGGUGUUCGGGUUGUCAUGCCAAUGGCACUGCCCGGUAGCUAAAUGCGGAAGAGAUAAGUGCUGAAAGCAUCUAAGCACGAAACUUGCCCCGAGAUGAGUUCU
rnacentral:rRNA from 1 species